CCUACGGGGGGCUGCAGUGGGGAAUAUUGGACAAUGGGGGGAACCCUGAUCCAGCCAUGCCGCGUGUGUGAAGAAGGCCCUCGGGUUUUAAAGCACUUUCAGUGAGGAAGAACGCCUGGUGGUUAAUACCCAUCAGGAAAGACAUCACUCACAGAAGAAGCACCGGCUAACUUCGUGCCAGCAGCCGCGGUAAUACGGAGGGUGCGAGCGUUAAUCGGAAUUACUGGGCGUAAAGCGCGCGUAGGUGGCUUGAUAAGCCGGUUGUGAAAGCCCCGGGCUCAACCUGGGAACGGCAUCCGGAACUGUCAAGCUAGAGUGCAGGAGAGGAAGGUAGAAUUCCCGGUGUAGCGGUGAAAUGCGUAGAGAUCGGGAGGAAUACCAGUGGCGAAGGCGGCCUUCUGGACUGACACUGACACUGAGGUGCGAAAGCGUGGGUAGCAAACAGGAUUAGAUACCCUUGUAGUC
rnacentral:rRNA from 1 species